GGAGAACAAGGUGGACGAGGAGGACGAGGACUUCUGCACGGUAUAACCCGAGGUGGUUAUCAGUGGUUGUUGGAGGUUUUUGGUGAUGGUUGGGUGUGUUCGGAGGUGGACGAGGAGGAGAACGAGAAAUACGAGGAGAGCAAGAUGGACGAGGAUGACUAGGAUUUGUGUACUGUAUAACCCGAGGUGGUUAUCGGUGGUUGUUGGCGGUGGUCGGAGGUGGACGAGGAGGAGGGCGAGGAAGACGUGGAGAACAAAGUUGACGAGGAGGACGAGGAUUUGUGCUAGGUAUAACCCGAGGUGGAUUAGCAGCAUCCUGAAAAUGAUGGUGACGCCCACGGGUGACGCCUGUUCGAUGUCAGCUGCUGACAAAAAUGUGUGGCGGGUAAUCUAACAUGAGGGUUUGACUUUUGGGCCACACAGAUAGUGAAUUUUUUGGCGUGUGUGAUUGAAAAUGAUUAAUAAAUUUAUCAGUCUGUAGGUUUGAAACAAAAUUUCAUGCCAUCAAUUUAAUUAUCUAGAUUUGCACGGGUAAAUAGUGUUUGCGUACGAAUUCUACAACCAUCCAUCGGGUUUCAGUAUGGAACGUAACUUGUAUAAUACAGUGAACUGCAAUAUAUUACAGUCGAGGUCACAUAGCAAUGCAAAAGAAUGAUUAAAUAUUGAAUAAUAAAUCUGAAUAUUACGUCAGAAAAAAAAGUGCAACGAAUAUCAUCUCAUGCUAAAAAUGAGGGAUAUUGUGAAAUACAGUGAUUAUCGUAAAUUGGAGGUAUUACUUAAGUAAUGGCCUGCGUGCAGGUGUAAUGCUCUUUCGCAGAACAUAACAUGAAUGAUACUCUAUCAUUAGUACUU
rnacentral:lncRNA from 1 species